rnacentral:rRNA from 1 species
GACGAACGCUGGCGGCGUGCUUAACACAUGCAAGUCGAACGGAAAGGCCCUGCUUGCAGGGUACUCGAGUGGCGAACGGGUGAGUAACACGUGGGUGAUCUGCCCUGCACUUCGGGAUAAGCCUGGGAAACUGGGUCUAAUACCGGAUAGGAGCCAUUUUUAGUGUGAUGGUUGGAAAGUUUUUUCGGUGUAGGAUGAGAUCGCGGCCUAUCAGCUUGUUGGUGGGGUGAUGGCCUACCAAGGCGGCGACGUGUAGCCGGCCUGUGAGGGUGGACGGCCACACUGGGACUUAGGUACGGCCCAGACUCCUACGGGAGGCAGCAGUGGGGAAGCUUGCACGAUGGGCGCAAGCCUGGUGCAGCGACGCCGCGUGGCGUAUGACGGCCUUCGGGUUGUAGACUCCUUUCGCUAGGGACGAAGCUUUUUGUGACGGUACCUAGACAAGAAGCACCGGCUAACUACGUG